CGGGGCGUAGCGCAGUCUGGUAGCGCACUUGCAUGGGGUGCAAGGGGUCGCGAGUUCGAAUCCCGCCGCCCCGACCA
rnacentral:tRNA from 1 species